UGCUGGUACUUUCUCAUUAUAUAAUUCAGGGCUCAACACAAAUAAAUUUUUAUACUGGCACGGUCGGGCCAGUGGUUCAGGUUUUCAAUUGCCCUGAAAACAGGGGAAAUAUCGCCAAACCAACAAUUACCAAAACCUCACUAUAUAUCAUUGUUUGUAUGCAUAGAUUGCUGGAUUUGAUUUACUUGAUGCAUUGUGUGUGUUGUAAGCUUUUCGUGGCGCAGAUGUCAGACAGAUGCAAAUGGCAAAUACAUACGAAAGUGUAAAACGUGUAUGGCGAACGUUUUUUUUUUUUCUGUCAUUAUAGAUGCUAGUUUGGUGAAAGUACAAACUGAGUGGUUCAAAUCAUUCAGAAGAGAUGCUGUUUUUAGGGCAGUUUAUUAAAGAAGACCUGACAUGGAUAUGAUUCCCAAUGAGAAACGACUGCUAAUAUAAAUUCAUUACAGAAGGACCCUACCAGACUAUAUUUGAAUACGGCAUACCCAUGAAUUCUGGAACUGUUAUUCCUUAACCCAGUUUGGAGGAUAAGAGCUUACCAACUAGUUAUAAAUAUGCUGAGGUGAUGUAUUGCAAAAUAGCCAACAUACAACAAUUAAAGGAUAAUUGCAGACUACAUCCUGAUGAAGAUAUGGAUGACCCUCUGUCUGGUCAACAGGAGUUUAAAUAUGGAUGGGACAGUUAUGUGGCAGCUCUUCCCUGGCUCAUUCACCUCUUGCCUUCAUUUGUGAAAGGAGGAAAGACUGGAGAGGGUUAAUGUGCAACUGAAGCUACUGAUUGUGCUGUGUGAUGAGCAUCAAUCCAUGCUUUGAGGUGGAUGGAUCAGCACAGCCCUGCCUGCUCUGCGUUGGGAACAGAAAUUGCAGAAAUUUUGCAUCAUUCUGGACCAAAAAGCCAUUCCCUGCAUGAUAAAGACCACUGAUGCAGCCUUCCACUACAUCAUGAGUAAAACAACUACAGAACUAAAUACCAGGUUGG